GGAACUCGAAGCAGUGUUACCAAGUUUUCUUACAUGGGGCAUCACAUUGGAUUUCAUCUGUAUUGCACAAAAGGUUACAAUUUCCCACCCAGGUAUGCAAUCUCAUUGGUACUUUGCCUAUGAUGCCUUUCAUAGGUGUGUUUCGGAGUGCCUCGCAGUUUCUCCGGUGCUAGGGUCCCUGCCUGCAUUUCUGCGGAGUCAAUUUACAAUAUCAACUGGAAUGCUAAAGCGGGCGGAGGAGACCUUUUACAGAAGUUUUCAGACCUGGCGCUACUUGACCAGCAUUACUUGGGCGUUUACGUUUUUACUUUUUAGCAAAAUAUUAAAAUGAAAAUGUUGUUUUCUUUAGGGAUUUGGAUUCAGUGUGGAUCAAACAAUUCUUGAAAC
ensembl:processed_transcript Gm17191 predicted gene 17191